rnacentral:tRNA from 1 species
GGAUGCUUAGCUCAGUUGGGAGAGCAUCGCCCUUACAAGGCGAGGGUCACUGGUUCAAGUCCAGUAGCAUCCACCA